UACGUAGGGAGCAAGCGUUGUUCGGAGUUACUGGGCGUAAAGGGUGCGUAGGCGGCUUUUUAAGUUUGGUGUGAAAUCUCCCGGCUCAACUGGGAGGGUGCGCCGAAUACUGAGAGGCUAGAGUGUGGGAGAGGAAAGUGGAAUUCCUGGUGUAGCGGUGAAAUGCGUAGAUAUCAGGAGGAACACCGGUGGUGUAAACGGCUUUCUGGACCAUAACUGACGCUGAUGCACGAAAGCGUGGGUAGCAAACAGG
rnacentral:rRNA from 1 species